rnacentral:rRNA from 1 species
AACGAACGCUGGCGGCAUGCCUAACACAUGCAAGUCGAACGAGACCUUCGGGUCUAGUGGCGCACGGGUGCGUAACGCGUGGGAACCUGCCCUUAGGUUCGGAAUAACUCCCCGAAAGGGGUGCUAAUACCGGAUAAUGUCUUCGGACCAAAGAUUUAUCGCCUUUGGAUGGGCCCGCGUUGGAUUAGCUAGUUGGUAGGGUAAAAGCCUACCAAGGCGACGAUCCAUAGCUGGUCUGAGAGGAUGAUCAGCCACACUGGGACUGAGACACGGCCCAGACUCCUACGGGAGGCAGCAGUGGGGAAUAUUGGACAAUGGGCGGAAGCCUGAUCCAGCAAUGCCGCGUUAGUGAUGAAGGCCUUAGGGUUGUAAAGCUCUUUUACCCGGGAUGAUAAUGACAGUACCGGGAGAAUAAGCUCCGGCUAACUCCGUG